CUACUUGGGGAGAGCAGCCUUAAAAGCCUUUUGAUUUUAUUUCUUCCACUUCAUUUUUUUUUUUUUCCUUUCCUUGCUGGUGUCCUUGACAAUGCCUCCCUUCCCCCUCUGCUGCCCCUUCCUCAAAGCCCCGUAGGAGGCCCAGGAGCCUGAGUAAAGGCAGAGGCCAGGGGCCAAGGGCCUGGGGGCCUGCAGGCGUGCAUGUGGGGACACGUGUGUGCACACGUGUGGCUGGGAUACUACUGUGGCUCCCUGUGUCCCUAUGUGUGCAACCUGGGCGCCACUGUGUGCCUGUCUGGAAGCAUGCUCCACGGGCAUAUACCUGUGUGUCCAAGUAGGCCCCGUGUGCACAUAUGUGUGCGUGCCUGGGUGUGUACGAGCACGCGUGGACCUCACUGUGCACGCCCUCACCAGAAAGCUCCACCAAGUCCCUUAAUCUGAUCCCCGAGGAACAACGCAGAGGCUUCACUCUGGAUGACAAACGAGGAGGGGAGAGGCCUGCCCUGCCUGGACUCUGGGCCCCAGCCAGGACUGUGUAAGCGAGAGGAUACCUGCACCCCCUUUAAUCCCUCAGCGGGGUCUCCCCAGUGGGGAGACCAGACCUGGGAAACAUGGCUCACCUUGGUAAGCCAUCAGCCUCUCCAUGCCUCAGUUUCUUCAUCUGCAAAAUGGGCAUACCUUUAGGCCUAGUGAGGCUAGUGCAUGUAAGCACUUAAUAAAGCCUGCAGCGGUGGGGCUCAGAUGGCCCAGCUCUCUGCUCUGAGGACCUCCCUGACCUGGCAUGCACAUCUGCAUGGUCAUGUACACGUGCGUGCACACGAGCUGUGAAGACGCUCCCAGAGGAGACGCUCAGAAACGAUGAUGAGGUCUUUUCUGAGUGGACCUGACCAUUUCGAAGAACAGAAUGGCAAUUUCACAUGGUGCAACCGGGGAGGUGAACCGCCCAGCCCAGAGCCGGCCUGCAGCGGCACUCACCCCAGCAGCUGUCGUAGCGGAGCGAGCCUGCGUCCUCUAUAAACCCAGGCACUGCCCUGGGCAGAGGCUGCUUUCCCGCUGGAAGCGGCAGCUCCCUGGCCAACACCCGGCCAGAUUCUGAGCCUUCUCCACCUGCUAGGUUAGAAUCUUCUCUUUCUGGGCAUUGCCCGGUGAAACCCCAGUUUCUCGCUUGAUGCAAACCUCUUCUCUCCUCCCUGUGCUCAGGUGGACCUUCAGAAGCUCUAUGCCGAUGAGCUGGUGGGUGGAGGGCUCCCCUGGCCCUCAGUUCUCCACUGUUGCGUAGGGAGAGAGAGAAAGAGGAAUCUGCUCCCGACGUUCCUGGGCCAGGGAGCCCCAGAACCACGACUCCUUUUCUGUGAACAGUACCAGGGGUCCAACUUGCUCACCAAUGGAGUGUUCACUUGGGGCACUCCCUGUGCUCAGCAAGGCCCCACACUUGGUUUAACAUGCUGCUGCCAUGGUCUCGAAAUUCUUAACAAUUGUGGAACAAGGGGCCCUGCAUUUGCAUUUUUCACCCAGACUGUUACAACAUACGUAGCCGGUCCUGCCUGCCAGACAUGCGUGUUACAGCUGCGUCCAGCUGGCCACAUCACUCCACACUUCGCUCCGCCCCCAACGCUGCAACAGUCCCCAAAAGCCUGAAGCCGCAGACUCAUCCACUCUCCAGGCCGGCUCUCCGGGCUGUGGGCACACGUGAGACUGCCCUCUGUACGUUCUGAGGGACCAGGAACCUCAGGGUGCGGGUAUCAGCCUCUCCUCACUAGGCAGCCCCCACCCCACCAUCCUCAGGAGCCCCCCGGGCUGGACGGCGGGUCCCCUGGCUAAGCUGAACUCCAAUGGGACACCGAAAUGCCAGCCUCUCCCUCCUGUCGGCUCCCUUGAUUCCUGAACAAGGGAUUCCUUCAUCCUUCCGGGGUCCCUGCCCUUCCUUCCAGCUCUGCUGCAGACGUGAGGGAAGAUGCUCUCUCCCUCAAAUCUGUGCAGUCCCCAAGGCUCUCCCCCACCGGCCCCCACCUCUUCUCCUCUGCACGUGGGCGAGGGCCUUUGGGGAGGAUGUGGGUCUGACAGGGCCCGGCUGUGAGCCCUGCAGUGACAAGGAGGUCUGGGAGGGUCUGCCACUUGAGUAGCCUGUGGGAGACCCAGCCCCUUGGGACAGGCAAGUCCCCACCAGACAGCCGGCAACAGAGCAGCGACUGCUCUGAAGAAGGUGCCAGAGGGGAUGUGGCAGAGAAGAGGACACGCUGUCGGGAUGGUGGCCAUUCCAGUGGAAGAGGCCGAGGACGACCAGGAGGACCAGUCACCAGUAAUAAAAAAGUUGCACGAAA